rnacentral:sRNA from 1 species
UGGUUUAUUACUGGUGACGAUUAGCAU